CUGUUUGGACUUUUUAACACGGUGCCAUCUCGCCAGUAUUUGGUGCACAGAGACAUCGUGCAGUGGUUUUGGACUAUAUAGCAGGGGACACAUUAUACAGUGAUUGUUUUUCAUUUAGCCUGUAUAUGUUCUGCAGAAUCUGCAUUAAACUGUAUCUUCCAAAGUACUGAACGGAUCUGGGUGAAUUUUGGAUAUGUGGUUCAUCCAGAUCCCCCGGUUCCAAGGAUAUACUUUUUAUGGGGUUAUUGCAUGUUUUGGGGUCCCUGUGAU
rnacentral:lncRNA from 1 species